UGGAGAUCUUUCAAAGAAUCUGACCCUUGAUUUUCAGACUUUCAUCAGACGUACUCUUUCAUCUCUUUCACAAAGCUUUGAAGGGAUAUUAGACAUCACACUGGUGACUGUUAACAUCCCAUGCCAGUUUUCAUAAAACAUCAUAAGCUCAGCAUCAGAUUUUAUGACUAAGUUCAGUACAGUCAGCAGAGGAGUUGAUCUUAGAUGAAUUCUUCUAACUGAUCUUGGCCUCUCUCCCAUUUCUUCCAGCUCUCAGACAGGAAGUGUGAACCCCCCACCAAGACUGACAUGAGAACAGUCACAACAUCUGAACAAAAACUGACAGGGUCAAGAGGGCCUGAUCUGGGGUGAGUGGACAGCUUGUCAAGAAGAGUGGGUUUCUUUGGUCCCUCCCCCGACUGCUGACAGGCACUGCUGUAUUAGCAGAGACCCUGCCCUGAAUGAAACGGACACAAUCCGCCAUUUUUGUGUAGUAGCUACUGUAUAUUACGAUGCUGCCGCUUAAUACAACGAUCUAGUAUAAACUAGAUGUGUCCACUCCAUUUGCGAGAAAUGGAUCUCCGUUCCCCGCCAGUUCCCAGGGAUUAAUCACCACUGCCACUCCCGACCCAGAGCCCAGCCCACCAUCUCCCCGAUGUACGGAGCGCAAGCCUGAGCCCACCGCUGGCGGAGAGCCAGAGCCCGCCGCAACCGACAAGACAUCGCCGCAAGGAGCAACAGUGCUGAGGAUCGCCACGGAGCCAGUGCUGCUGAAGACGUCAGUCAAAGUUUGUGAGCCGGCAACAGCGCCUGCGACAAGGGAGAGUGCCGCUGAUGGUGUGAGCGCGUAGAGGAGCUCUGCCCCCUACACCGCAGCUGAGGGUGAGCGGACUAUGGAGCGCCAAAAGGGCCAAAAUGAGGAGGUGGAUCUUAUUGACUGGGAGUCUGAACUGGAAAUUGAACUGCCCCCUCUCCUCUCUCCAUCGUCUCCGCUGGUCCCGUCCAGCCCUCCUUCGUCUGGCAGCACCUCUGCUCACCUUCAGCGCACCAUCUAUGCGGUGCGAGCCCCAUGGGACUGCCAUCCUCCAGCGUCGCCGUGGCUGGAGUCUCUGUUGACUCCGCCUCCAGCCUGGCAUCGACCAUCCUGCGCCUCAGGACUCCACUUCUCUGGCUUCGCCUCGUCCCUCUGGCUCCGUCAGGCUCCUUUAUCCCCUCGGCUCCAUCUCAGUCCUCUGUCGCUUCGGCUCCACCGUGGCCUCAUGGAUCCACAUCUCCGCAUCGGUCGCCGGUGCCAUCGGCUUCACCUAGGACCUCCAGAUCCUCCCUGUCACCCUGGCUCUUCGGCUCUCCAUGUCCGCCUCAGGCUCCUCCACCACCUGCUCCGCCACCUUUGGCCGGCCCCCUGGAGUCGGCAGCCACUCCUCCGCCAUGGCUGCUGUUAUGGCUGUGGUUUGGGUCCUGCUGGGCUCCUCCUGCUCCAAGCUCCCCCUGGCUCCUCCCUCCGUGGUCUCUGUCUACACAACCCCCCCCCCCCCACCUCCCGGUUCCACGGUGUGAGGUCACACCUUCUGGGAGGGGGGAGUAAUGUCAUGCCCCUGGACUCAUUGUGUUGUGUUUUUCCUCCCCAGGUGUGCCAUGUUCCCUUUAAUUAAUCAUUCCACUCACCUGUGUUUCUUCUUUUAUCUUGUGUAUAAAGGUCCUAGUCUGUUCAGUCUGUGUUUGUCAGGUCAACUUGUUUGCUACAUGUGCUCCUACUGUGGAUUAUCCCUGUGAUUCC
ensembl:lncRNA